GGAGGUUUAUUUUUAACGGUUUCUCAAUAUCACCCUACUCCUUCUCCAUAAAAUUAGGGUUAGGGUUUCUAAACCAGCCUCUGCAAAAUUCACCAAAAAUCCCCAAUUUCUCCAACACCUAACCCUAGGGUUCGAAUGGGCACAGAACGGAAGAGAAAGGUGAGUCUGUUCGACGUCGUGGACGAUUCAUCAACGGCGAAAUUGAACAAAGCGAACGGCGGAGCCGCCGUUCACGGCGUUGACGGUAUGCCGGUGGUGAACAGGUGGAAUCUACGCUCGUACUCGCAGCGGUAUUACGAUAUCUUGGAGAAGAGGAAAACUUUGCCGGUUUGGCAUCAGAAAGAGGAGUUUCUUAAGGCGUUGAGGGAGAAUCAAACCCUAAUUUUGGUCGGUGAGACCGGUAGUGGUAAAACUACUCAGAUUCCUCAAUUUGUUUUGGAAGCUGUUGAGUUAGAGAGUGCGGAUAAACGUAGGAAGUUCAUGGUGGGAUGCACGCAGCCUCGUAGGGUGGCUGCAAUGUCUGUUUCCAGGAGAGUUGCGGAGGAAAUGGAUGUUACGAUUGGAGAAGAAGUCGGUUACAGCAUCCGGUUUGAAGAUUGCAGCAGCGCAAAAACUGUCUUGAAGUACUUGACAGACGGUAUGCUAUUACGAGAAGCAAUGACCGACCCACUUCUAGAAAGGUAUAAAGUGAUAAUUCUUGAUGAAGCCCACGAAAGAACAUUGGCUACUGAUGUUCUAUUCGGGCUCUUAAAAGAAGUGCUGAAAAACAGGCCUGAUCUAAAGCUAGUUGUUAUGAGUGCUACUCUCGAAGCCGAAAAGUUUCAGGGUUAUUUCUUCGGUGCACCGUUAAUGAAAGUUCCGGGCCGACUUCACCCUGUGGAGAUCUUUUACACUCAAGAGCCCGAACGCGACUAUCUUGAAGCAGCAAUUCGAACCGUUGUACAAAUUCACAUGUGUGAGCCACCUGGCGAUAUCCUUGUUUUCCUCACCGGUGAAGAAGAAAUUGAAGACGCCUGUCGAAAAAUAACGAAAGAAGUCGGUAAUUUAGGAGACCAGGUGGGGCCCGUGAAAGUGGUUCCACUUUAUUCAACUCUCCCACCAGCUAUGCAGCAGAAGAUAUUUGAGCCCGCUCCAGCUCCGUUAACUGAAGGUGGGCCUGCGGGCCGGAAGAUUGUGAUUUCAACAAACAUUGCUGAAACGUCUUUAACCAUAGACGGGAUAGUUUACGUUAUCGACCCGGGGUUCGCAAAGCAGAAAGUUUAUAACCCGCGUGUUCGAGUUGAGUCGUUAUUAGUGUCCCCAAUAUCAAAGGCGAGUGCCCACCAGAGAUCGGGUCGAGCUGGGAGAACACAACCCGGGAAAUGUUUCAGAUUAUACACCGAGAAAAGUUUUAAUAACGAUCUACAACCACAGACGUACCCCGAGAUUCUUCGAUCUAAUUUAGCGAAUACGGUACUUACGUUGAAGAAACUUGGUAUUGAUGAUCUCGUUCAUUUUGAUUUUAUGGACCCACCUGCUCCUGAAACUUUGAUGCGGGCUCUAGAGGUUUUGAAUUACUUGGGAGCGUUGGAUGAUGAAGGAAAUUUGACUAAAUUGGGUGAAAUUAUGAGUGAAUUCCCAUUAGAUCCUCAGAUGGGAAAGAUGCUUGUUGUUAGCCCUGAAUUUAAAUGUUCGAAUGAAAUCCUUUCAAUCGCCGCAAUGCUAUCAGUAUUCUCUCUCAUGAAGCAAACGGUGUGGUUUCAAAUCUGCUGACUGAUUGACUGACCUACCUACCGUGGCCGAUAUAACAAUUUUUUCUUUAGUACCCAAUUGCUUUGUUCGGCCCCGAGAAGCCCAGAAGGCUGCUGACGAGGCUAAAGCACGAUUUGGACACGUUGACGGGGACCACCUCACGCUCUUGAAUGUAUAUCAUGCCUACAAACAGAAUAACGAUGAUCAAUCAUGGUGUUAUGAGAACUUUGUGAAUCACCGGGCCAUGAAAUCUGCAGACAACGUGAGGCAGCAGUUAGCCCGUAUUAUGGCCCGUUUCAACCUGAAGCUAUGCAGCACGGAUUUCAACAGCCGUGAUUAUUACGUCAACAUCAGAAAAGCUAUGUUAGCAGGGUAUUUUAUGCAGGUUGCCCACCUGGAGCGCACCGGACAUUAUUUGACUGUUAAAGAUAAUCAAGUGGUUCAUUUGCACCCGUCAAAUUGUUUGGAUCGUAAGCCGGAGUGGGUGAUUUACAAUGAAUAUGUGUUGACUAGCAGGAAUUUCAUACGCACUGUUUCAGAAGUUCGUGGUGAAUGGAUUGUUGACAUUGCUCCACACUACUAUGAUCUUGAAAACUUCCCGAAUUGCGAAGCAAAACGCGCUCUUGAGAAGCUGUACAAGAAACGGGAAAAAGACAAGGACGAGAGCAGAAACAGAAGAUAGAACUAAACGAAACCCUUGAUCGAUCACCUAUAAUUAAAACAAACUGUUCUGGAUGAAGUUUUCAACGGACUGUUUAUGUAUCUUAAUUUAGUGUUAGUUGAUUUGUUCCGUACGGAUUUUGAAUAAUCUUAAAAUCAGAUCAAUGUUUUGGUUAUCUUAA